GACGAACGCUGGCGGCGUGCCUAAUACAUGCAAGUAGAACGCACAGUUUAUACCGUAGCUUGCUACACCAUAAACUGUGAGUUGCGAACGGGUGAGUAACGCGUAGGUAACCUGCCUGGUAGCGGGGGAUAACUAUUGGAAACGAUAGCUAAUACCGCAUAAUAUUGAUUAUUGCAUGAUAAUUGAUUGAAAGAUGCUAUUGCAUCACUACCAGAUGGACCUGCGUUGUAUUAGCUAGUAGGUGAGGUAACGGCUCACCUAGGCGACGAUACAUAGCCGAACUGAGAGGGUGAUCGGCCACACUGGGACUGAGACACGGCCCAGACUCCUACGGGAGGCAGCAGCAGGGAAUCUUCGGCAAUGGACGAAAGUCUGACCGAGCAACGCCGCGUGAGUGAAGAAGGUUUUCGGAUCGUAAAGCUCUGUUGUAAGAGAAGAACGGGUGUGAGAGUGGAAAGUUCACACUGUGACGGUAUCUUACCAGAAAGGGACGGCUAACUACGUG
rnacentral:rRNA from 1 species